rnacentral:pre_miRNA from 1 species
CUAAUACUCCCUCCGUCCGAAAAAACUUGUCCCUCAAAUGGAUGUAUCUAGCAUCAAGUUAGUGCUAGAUACAUCCAUUUAAGGGACAAGUUUGGGACAAGCUUUUUCAGACGGAGGGAGUAGAAA